CAACUUACGACGGUUCAACUUACAACCUUUUGACUUUCUGAUGAUGGUGCUUUCAGUUGUGUACUUGAGCAGCGAGGACCCACACAACCAUUCUGGUUUUCACUUCCAGUUCAGUAUUCAUGGUGAGCCGCAGGCAUUGAAAGCUGCCGGGAGUCCUCACUCUGGACCCAGCGCCUCGACCGCCGGGGAUGUGAGUUCUGCGACGUCCUCAGCGAUGUGCACCAGACACCAGCACACUCCCUACGGCACUGAAAACCGGCGGCCAAGCGCCUUGUCACCUUUUCUACGACCUGGAGACUCAGGGAUGGGAUGAUGCCUGUGGAAGCCAUGAAUGUGCACCUCGGAGGAUCUGGAAGAUCGGGGAAGACCCUGGCUGAGCCCCCUGCAAGUGAUUGCUGGGGAAGGAGCCUGGGUGUGCAGUCUGAUGGCCCCAGCUGCUGCUGGUCUCACGCUGUGGCCUUGGGCAAAAUGACCAUCAUCGCCAACCUCAGCAUCCUCUUCCGUGGAGGGACCAAUGACCACGUCCAAAGGUGAUUCUUUCUGUGUUGCUCUUUCUCGUCUUUCAACGCCAGUCCAAUCUCAGCCGGAGGAAAGGCAGGGCCGACAAGAGCAGCAGCCCGUGUGCUCAGCAGGCUUCCUGCACACCCCAAAGUGCACCACGGUGCCUGGCUCACUCAGAUGAUUUAAAGAUGAAGCCAGUUGGAAGUAAUUGUUUAGAUUAAACUCCAUUACCCU
rnacentral:lncRNA from 13 species